rnacentral:rRNA from 1 species
GACGAACGCUGGCGGCGUGCCUAACACAUGCAAGUCGAACGAGGUCCAUCCUUCGGGAGAAGACCUAGUGGCGAACGGGUGAGUAACACGUGAAGAACCUGCCCCGAAGACCGGGAUAACCCUCCGAAAGGAGAGCUAAUACCGGAUACCCCCACCGAACCGCAUGGUUUGGUGAGGAAAUGGAUUCCGCUUCGGGAGGGCUUCGCGGCCUAUCAGCUAGUUGGUGGGGUAACGGCCCACAAGGCAUCGACGGGUAGCUGGUCUGAGAGGACGAUCAGCCACACUGGGACUGAGACACGGCCCAGACUCCUACGGGAGGCAGCAGUGGGGAAUCUUGCGCAAUGGGCGAAAGCCUGACGCAGCAACGCCGCGUGGGGGAUGAAGGCUCUCGGGUUGUAAACCCCUUUCAGCAGGGACGAAUCAAGACGGUACCUGCAGAAGAAG